AUUGAACGCUGGCGGCAGGCCUAACACAUGCAAGUCGAACGAGUGGCGGACGGGUGAGUAAAGUCUGGGAAACUGCCUGAUGGAGGUGGAUAACUACUUGAAACGGUAGCUAAUACCGCCUACCAUCAGCUGUGCCCAGAUGGGAUUAGCUUGGGGGUGGGUGAACUGCUCACCAAGGCGACGAUCCCUAGAUGGUCUGAGAGGAUGACCAGCCACACUGGAACUGAGACACGGUCCAGACGCCUACGGGAGGCAGCAGUGGGGAAUAGUGCACAAUGGGCGCGAGCCUGAUGCAGCCAUGCCGCGUGUAUGAAGAAGGCAUUCGGGUUGUAAAGGACUUUCAGCGGGGAGGCGUUACCCGAAGAAGAAGCACCGGCUAACUCCGUGCCAGCAGCCGCGGUAAUUC
rnacentral:rRNA from 1 species